CUCCAGUGCCUCGUGGUCUUUUUCUCCCGCUUUAGGUGGGAGAGGAUGGCUAGAGUGGGCUGGAGUUGGGUAAGUCCCUUCCCCAGGUGUCAGUUAUGCUCUGCUGAAAGCCCAACAGGUUAGGCUCUGGUUAACUAAUUUCCCCUGAGGCUAGGCCUUGUUAAGAAGCACAGAGUGCUCUGGCUUAUUUCAGAAUCGUUCCUUUUCACCUUCCCUACCAGAAGCCCAAGGGGAUUUUUCUCUGAUAUUUACCGCAGGAACCUGGUCGAGCUCCUAAACAGAUACAGUAAAUAUGGAAGCAGCUGAUUCAAAAGUACAGGGAUAGUAUCAGCAGGCCCCUCUUCUGGUACAUAACGUGUUCCUUAAGACGCUUGGAAAUUCAAACAAUAGAGAUCUCUGUAUAUGCUUCUGGGGAGAGGGAAGAGGUAUGGACAUCAAGAUUCCUGGAAAAUACUAUUGAUGUCUUUCUGUCAUGCAUCAUGGAAAUGCUGGAGACGAUUUGUCGGAUAAUUAAAAGAGAAACCUGUAAAGGCAAGAUUCCUGUGAGCGAGUUGGUGCUGCAACGUGCUGCUCUGAACUGUGCCACCCCUUGGGUCCUCACAGAUGCCCCCAGAUCGCUUGAAAUGUCUAAAAAGACCUCGGAACAUUAGAAAAUGUCAAUUGUUAGAAUAAUUUCUGCCUCUUACAACAAGAGAAAAUACUAUGGAUUUAAUAGUUCAUUUUUAAAAUGUUUUUAUCCACCAGUAACUGUCUAUUAGGAACAUUUCAGUUAUAAU
rnacentral:lncRNA from 1 species